UACGUAGGGUGCAAGCGUUGUCCGGAAUUAUUGGGCGUAAAGAGCUCGUAGGCGGUCUGUCACGUCGGCUGUGAAAUCCCGAGGCUCAACCUCGGGUCUGCAGUCGAUACGGGCAAACUAGAGUAUUGCAGGGGAGACUGGAAUUCCUGGUGUAGCGGUGAAAUGCGCAGAUAUCAGGAGGAACACCGGUGGCGAAGGCGGGUCUCUGGGCCGAUACUGACGCUGAGGAGCGAAAGCGUGGGGAGCAAACAGG
rnacentral:rRNA from 1 species